rnacentral:rRNA from 1 species
UACGUAGGGCGCAAGCGUUAUCCGGAAUUAUUGGGCGUAAAGAGCUCGUAGGCGGUUUGUCGCGUCUGCCGUGAAAAGUCCGGGGCUCAACUCCGGAUCUGCGGUGGGUACGGGCAGACUAGAGUGAUGUAGGGGAGCUGGAAUUCCUGGUGUAGCGGUGAAAUGACGCAGAUAUCAGGAGGAACACCCGGAUGGCGAAGGCAGGUCUCUGGGCAUUAACUGACGCUGAGGAGCGAAAAGCAUGGGGAGCGAACAGG